CAAUACGAAACCAACAAGAACCCAUUAAAAUACUUUCCCUCCUCCUUUUGUCUAUCCCCUCUUUUCUUCUUUCUCAAUUUCUCACGAUCAUCAAUUAAUCUUCCUUCAAUUAUUCAUCAAUGUCAAAACCAUGCUCAAUUUCCUCCAUUUUCAUCUUCUUCCUCUGAUCUCCUUUAAGAAUUGAGAUAUUAGUGGGUAAAGAUCAAUGGUUAUUGCAGUAGAAGCUCGCAAAUUCGAUCUCCCUAACCUUUCUUUGUCUUCUCCAAAGGUUACAUCUUUUCUAUAUGAACCCAAUUCUCAUUCUUUAGCUUUAAUGCAUUCUGAUUCAAGUUUCUCUCUUUUCCCUUCUUUUUCCCCCUUUUCUUCUAAUUCUAGCUUUUUACCCGCUCCUCAAACCCUAAUUCCGAAUCCGUUUUCUUCUGCUUGUUUUGUGCCGCUUAAUCGUCAUAGCACUAAAAAUCAAGAUUUCCAAGAUGAUAAAAAUGUUGUCUUUGUUGUUUCUGGACCUUACAAUGGUGCGUCUAGGGUUGUUUUGAGAUUUUAUUUGUUGGGUAAAGAUGGAAAAUUUGUGACUGCCCAGGUGGGUUGUAGUCAAAAUGGUGUUCGUUUUGAUAGGAAAUGUGGUGUAAUUGUAGAUGUAAGUUAUGGAAUGAAGGUUAUGCUAUGUGGGUCUGUCAAUUACUUGGCUUUGUACUCAGCUUCAGGUGGGAAAAUGUGGGUUUUUGGGGUGAAAUUGAUAGGUAGUGGGAGGGAUUUAAGGUUGGUUAAGUGUGCUGUAAUUGACUGUACAUUGCCUAUCUCGUCGAUUUGUCUUUCGUUUGGGUUUUUGAUCAUGGGUGAGUUAAGAGGAGUUAGGGUUUUUCCAUUGCGGGCGUUGGUGAAAGGGAGGGUUGGAAAUAGGAGGAGGAUGCGUGUGGCGAAGGUGAAAGGUGAAGAAUUGAAUGUGGAGGAUCAGGAAGGUAAUGUGAAAGUCGAGGGAAGAUACUCGAAGAUUACGAAUGGGGUUACUAGGGUUUCCCAUGAAAGUCAUGAAUUUGAUAAAAAUAGUGGGAAUGUGAGCUCAUCCAAGUUGUUGCCUGAUGGUCAUGCUUAUGGUGUUAUUGGUGGAGUGGCUUUGAGAUCGAUUGCUGAUGGAAAUUUGACGCCGAGAUCUUUAAAAAUUCGACAAGACUCUGGUGAGUGCGGGAUGCAGUUUGUUUUGUUCAAUGAUAGUGUCCGUGAAGAAAUUAAAUCCAGAUUGAUGCCUUCUAACACAACAAAGGCGGUUUCCAUCCAAGCAAUUUCAAAGGAGAAGUUUGUGAUUUUGGAUUCAAAUGGAGAUUUGCAUAUACUUCAAGUGUCGAAAUCUGGCUCUUCUCAAAUGAGACAGUUAACUUGCACCAUCCAAGCACGACAAUUGGCUACAUCUCCCGAUGCAUUUGCUGAUUCGCAUAUCAUUUGGGUAUCCGAGGGACUCUGUUCUGUGCACGUGAUGGUGAUACCUACUUCUGAUACCACAGAGAAGGAGAAUGGUGAGAGCAGUAAUGAUGGAGAGAUCAUUCACAGUUCAGUUACUCGAGCAAUAUUUACGAGCGAGAACAUUCAGAAAAUGGUGCCCUUGGCUGCAAACAAAGUCCUGAUUCUUGGACAAGAUAGCCUCUAUGCUUAUGCAAUUUCUUGAAGUUGUUUGUGGAAUCUUCUUUUGUGCUGGAUAAGUUCUCAUCCUGAUCAAAUAUCAAUCCUUUUUGAGUAAUGGGGCCCCGCAAUCGCUUUCUAUUUAGACUAAUGCCCUGUUUGUUCCAGUGUUCUUAACCCUCUGAUCUAACCUUGACAUAAAGUUAUCGAAGUCAUGAACUGCAGUUGUCAUACAUUUCUCUUAAUGUCGCUUUCAGGACUGGGUGCUCGUCAGGGGAAGGAUCAUCUGGUGAUCAGUUGGAUGCCUGGAAAUGGAGCAGAUUCUAAAUCUUUCUACAUACCGAGCCCUUCCAGUGUCGCAUCCCUCUGCCUACAGACAAAAUAUAUACUGUGCAAGGCUCAGGGAGAGGAACGAAAGGCUCGUGACAGCCAGUAUACGCCUGUUACGGAAUAGUUCACGUCUAUCCUGCCAUCUGUGGAGAAGUACGGGGCAUUUUUGCGUCUUGCUGGUUUACUUCGUGAUUUAGAUGAAACUCCAUUCUUAUUAUUAUGAACCAAUUUAUGUAGUUAAAGUUCGUAUUUUGUCUUCCUUUUGAACUCUGGGAAUGCCUGAUUAGUUGCACUAUUACACCUCUAAGAAAGCUUCAUGUAAUCUAUUUUUUUUUUUUUUUUGAAAUUCUACUUGAUUAUCGUUGAUCGACUGUUAUUUAUCAUCUUCGUCGUUCUUUUGAUAAAUUAACAAAACACGGUAUCUCUAUCCUACAACCAAUUGGUUACUUCCUUUUUCUUGAAUAAGCUGUUACAUACUCCUUUGUUUGAUGUUAAGGAAAAGUCGGGUUUCAAUCGUAACUUACUUCACCUUUUGGCUUUUCGAGUGAGUGUUCUAGGCGAAGGCAGUUUGUACACCAAUUAAUCUCGGAAAAUUUGUUAAAAUAAUUCUAAUUAUUACUCAUUUU